UUUAAUCCCCAGGAACAAGUUGAGGAGCUGGAAGACAGGCUGAAAGAGCUGAAGAACGGCAUCCAGCUUCAGCAGCGCAAGAAUCAAGAGCUGGAAGAGCUGAGGAGCAGCCUCCACCAGGAGCUAUCCAUUUACAAGGGCUGCUUAGAAAUCUAUGGACACCUUUGCAAAUCAGAAGAAAAAGCAGACCAGGACUAUUAGGAAUGAAGGACUUUCCCCCUUUUUAGCAAAAGUGAAGGACAGAGGCAUCUGCAGGGGACAUUUCCCUCUUGCUGCUUAUCCCACCUGAUGUACAGCAGCUGCCUAAAAUCAGAAAUACUAGACAAUCAUUUGCUUGUUUGUAUUUCUUGAGGUGCUGCUGUUGAUCCUCUAAUAAAACUGCUUUUCCAGAGAGGAGCAGAAAAAAGUAUACUUGCACUGAAAAUGGACAUAUAUGAAGAAUAACAGAUGUAUGUUUUGCUGUGUUUGGAAAAUGUAUCUUGUCUUGUUCCAUAGAUGGAUCGUAUAAGCCUGCGCAGAAAGUAUUGUUCUGGAAGCCUGUGUUAUGGGUUUGAUUUUUAAAGUUUACAUGCAAGAGAAGCUUUAUCCUUUUAACAGGAUUUUCUUUUGUAGUUCAAUGGGUCUCUGCUGUAUUGUGACAUGUUCAAUAUGGGUCACAGACUGAAGUUUGUGGAUAAAUAGUUUCCACUUUCUAUAAAAGUCUCACACUGAAAAUAAAGGCCAGAAUUUAAGGA